UCUUUUUAUAGCAGAAAUGGUUUAUUUUUCAUGCAGGAUAGUGGAGUUGAAUGAUAACAAGUUCAAAUUUUGUGAAUAUAAUACACAAUGGCCUUUAGAAAAAAAGUUUAUAGUUAAGACUUACAAAAGAUAAAGACUUCAAAUUUUUCUUUUAAAUAAAAAUGUCUUUCAUUUAUUAAGGCUAAAAAUCAUAUCAUAACAUUAUAUUUUACUGCUAAGUUG
rnacentral:lncRNA from 1 species